UUUUAGACUUUCAAACAAAACAAAGUUUUUUGUUCAUUCAACAACCAUCUCACAUUCUUCUUAAGGAAGGUUUUAUUAUGAAGGAAUGCGUGCCUCUAUUACUGCCACAUUCAAUAAACUUCUCAUCCUAACCAAAAUUUACAAAUAGCAGAUGAGAGACGUUUUUCAAAUUUAAGAUUCGUGGUGGUGUUCAAGCCCCUAGAUUAUGCCUAAUGCUAAAAGACUAGUUCACGUUUUAAAUUGGUUGGGGGGGGGGUUACAUGCCCCUCCCUAUUGUCAAUAUGUACACCACCAAUAAAUCAAAAAUCUUGAAGAACAAUUUUUUUUUGUUUUUAUACUGUAUACUGAUUUCACUUGUUUUAUUAAAAAUAGAAAUGUUUAUAAA